AAGGAUAUUAUUUGUAAGGAUAAACCAUCUUGCCUCUAGAACUUAAGACAAGUAAUCAUGGACCACUGCAAAAAUUAAUCUGUAAUGUUUUAGCUUUCUUUUUUUAACUGACAUUUUCUUCUUUGUACAGGAAGAUGAGUUUCUCUAUGCUUUAAUCUCAAAGUUUGCCUGAUUUCUAUGAACAAUUAUUUAACUGAUACUUUUUAAUUGUGAUUAGAGGUGG
rnacentral:misc_RNA from 1 species